GGGCUGGGCUCUGCUCUGCUCCUCCCGGCAGCCGAGGCGCCUUCCCCGCCCCCGGGCCCGCGCGUGGCUGGGCAGGUGCUUCAAGGAAUCUCCUGGAAUUUCUAGUUGGAGAGAGCUACUUGAGAUGAGAUGAAAUAUCACUUAAACUCUCUGUUAAGAUGAGAAAUGCCAAAUAAUUCAGUGCGACUUAGCAGGGGCUUAGAAAUCUUAUAUCAAGGGACAUACCUCGACAAGUUCCAUAUUGUGCCAUGGAGUGCCACAGAGAGAGACAGAGUAUUUCUACAUACCCACCACCCUAAUAAGGCAGCUACAUUGUUUGCAGUUCAGGUGAAAAUGUGUGGAGUAGACAUGGAAUAUAUCUCACUGAAGCACUUCCUGAUGUGGCAAUGAGGUGGUUACACAUGUGCUCCAAGAAACCUCCUACAGUCGAGAAUCAUAACACAACCUUUCACACCUGUCAUCUGGUUAUUAAAGAAAAGUAUUGUUCAUACGAGGAAAGGCUUUUGAGCCAUCUGGUAUUGAAACGAACACUGUAUGACUGGAAAUUGACUAAAUUGGAUUCCAUAACUCUUCUCAUCUGAUAUUUGAAAAAUGUCCUCUCUUCUUUCAGUAGUUGCAUUGUUUAUUUUCACUGAGCACAAGCACCUCCCAUGUAAUGUGCUCUAAUAUUUAGGGUCUGAGCAGAGUUAGAUCCUAUAAUCAUGUCUCUUUACAAGCUUUUGAGCCCUUC